rnacentral:rRNA from 1 species
UACGGUGGGGGCAAGCGUUGUUCGGAAUUACUGGGCGUAAAGGGCUCGUAGGCGGCCAACUAAGUCAUACGUGAAAUCCCUCGGCUUAACCGGGGAACUGCGUCUGAUACUGGAUGGCUUGAGUUCGGGAGAGGGAUGCGGAAUUCCAGGUGUAGCGGUGAAAUGCGUAGAUAUCUGGAGGAACACCGGUGGCGAAGGCGGCAUCCUGGACCGAUACUGACGCUGAGGAGCGAAAGCCAGGGGAGCAAACGGG